rnacentral:rRNA from 1 species
AGUGAACGCUGGCGGUAGGCCUAACACAUGCAAGUCGAACGGCAGCACAGUAAGAGCUUGCUCUUACGGGUGGCGAGUGGCGGACGGGUGAGGAAUACAUCGGAAUCUACUUUUUCGUGGGGGAUAACGUAGGGAAACUUACGCUAAUACCGCAUACGACCUACGGGUGAAAGCAGGGGAUCUUCGGACCUUGCGCGAUUGAAUGGGCCGAUGUCGGAUUAGCUAGUUGGCGGGGUAAAGGCCCACCAAGGCGACGAUCCGUAGCUGGUCUGAGGGGAUGAUCAGCCACACUGGAACUGAGACACGGUCCAGACUCCUACGGGAGGCAGCAGUGGGGAAUAUUGGACAAUGGGCGCAAGCCUGAUCCAGCCAUACCGCGUGGGUGAAGAAGGCCUUCGGGUUGUAAAGCCCUUUUGUUGGGAAAGAAAAGCAGCAGGUUAAUACCUCGCUGUUCUGACGGUACCCAAAGAAUAAGCACCGGCUAACUUCGUG